rnacentral:lncRNA from 1 species
UUUUUUUUUUUUUUUUUGGUACGAUUGAAGAAAAAAUUUUAAAAAAAAAAAGUUAGGAUCCAAUUGAUAAAUAUCUUCCACCGAUCAAAAACCCUACAUAUUCAUUUUCAACGAUCUCUCAAUGGUGGACCAUCUUUUGAGCCCAAACUCUUGAGGAGAAAUUAGAAGCAGCAGACAAAAUGUAUAUUGUGAGAGGUCUCAAAAUUAAAAUCUCUCAGUUAAAUUUCCGAUCCUCGUACCACCCAAUUCAUCCCCCUCCCAACGUAGACAAGUGAUCUCCACUUCAAAAUUCUUGAAGUAAAACCUCCAAGAUUAUGGUCAAUCUUACAUAUAUGCUGUGCAAGUAGCCAUGCAAAAAGGAGAGGUUCCUUUAUGCUUGUUUGGUCUAAACACUAUGGCUAAUUAUCUUCAAGGGAUCAGUAGAGUUGCACUCAUUUUCGUUGCCAGCAUUUCAAAAAUCAAUGAACUCCCAGAACAGCAUUUUAUUCUCGAAUAUCAGCCUCUUAAAUUCCAACACAAAAGAAAAAAAAAAUCAGAUCUAAGUUCAGUAAUACAUUAUCCCUCCAUCCCAAAUUGAAUGUCCUUUCAACAUUCUCCCUGUCCGUCGACAUAUUUUUCAACUUACACAGUCAAAUAUUCUAGAUUUUCCCCUGAUUUUAUGAUUGAUAACCAAUUAGAGGGGGAAAAAGCUUGAAAGUUGAUAGAAGUUAGUAUACCAUAGAUUGUAAAAAGGCCAUUGCAUUGAGGACCAAAGGAAUCUUAAACAUUUUCAUAAAAAAAAGGCCAAAAUUUUGCAAAAACCCUCCGUUCAUAACUAGCAUUUUAGGUCUUCACAAAAGAUUAUGAUACGAAAAAUUCACUGGUAAUCUAUCUAGAGGACAUACCAGCUCAAUAGUCUGUAAAACAAAACAAAGAUGUACAAAGGAAACUCCACCCACUGUUUAUUACCAAAAGUUAAGCAGCUUGAGGGAGGGUGACCUUUCACAUCUCAGGUUGCAUCUUCUCACACUCUUCCCGAAUUGACUGGAAAAGGGCAGUCGACAAGUAUCGCUCUCCAAAGCUUGGGAACACAACCUACAAGUAUACAACCAUCACAUAGUUAAAUCAAACUGCAGAAGUUCAGAUAUUAUUCAACUGGUUUCCCAUGUUAAUCACAUAAUCUAUCAACUCCACAGGCAUUUAUGAGGAGGGUGAAUCGGCCAAUUUAAGACUGGAGGCUGCAGCAGAGGUUACCCUAGCCAUGGUUCAUCUAAUUUCAACCAUGGAACAUGGCCAAGUCAGCUAGAACUAAAUAAGUACGCAUAUAGUUUCUAUCAAUCUACAAAGCCAAUUGGAUGCCAAUACCAGAACAUAUAAUUAUAUUAACGAAGUAGUAAUAGUAGAGAAUGCUUGUUGAGAUCAGAAGUGAAGACUUAGUUCUGUCACCCAAUGUAACUUAGCCAUUAGCCAUCUACAGAUUUAGCAUGAUGACUCUAAAAUAGCUCCAUUAUUCACCUAGUGAUGGAUUCAAAUCUAAUGUUGUUAUCUUUUUCUUUUAUAAAUCUGAACGAGUUCACUUUAUAACUAUUGGAUGAACCCAGAACCAAUGUCCAGCACCGUGAUUGAGAAUUUAUCUUUGAUAAUUACCAAUAAAGACAAGCUUCACCAGAGAGGCUACUUGAAUGUCUAAUAGAAUGUUUCAGACUCUGCAUUUAUCAAGAUUCCAAUCAGAUAUCAACGAAAUGCCAGCUACAGUAAAACAUACCGCAAUAAGCUUUCCCUCAUUCUCAGGUCUCUUCCCAACUUGGAGGGCAGCAGCAGUUGCUGCCCCAGAAGAAAUACCAACCUGGUGGAAGGAGAAUAUUCAGAAUAACAAUGAUGCAAAUACUUAAACAAGUAAGAGAACAGGAUACAGACAUGUUACAGGAAAAAUGAUCAGUCAGCUAUGUCAAAAAGGGAGAACAAAUCACUAAAAAAAUAAUGUAGAAAAUACAACAUAGAUAGGCAUCGUGUACUUUUCAUUGAGUAAAGUAAAAGCAAAAAGAUAGUUUCUUCUUUGGCUAGAUAUUCAUCUGAAGUUCACUCCUAACAUCAUCUGAAUAUCAAUGGUUCUGCAUCAAAUGUGGAUAGCAGAGAAGCUGCACAAGUUCAUUGCAUGGGCAGUUAAAGCGGGUUGCCUAGCUUUGUUAAUUUAAUUUCUUUUAGACAUUGAUGGAGGGGAAGGAACAGGCUAGCCUAAAGGGAUUGAACCAGCUAGUAGCAAACCCAGUUCUAGGACAUAAGGCACAUCAUUGGGCAGUUGAGCAGGUUGCCUAGCUUUUUUCUAAUUUCAUUAUUCAUCUUUAACUUCAUCAUGAAGUCACAAGUAAAAUUAAACAUAUUUUUGCAUCUAAAACUUAUGAGAAAUGUUCAUAAAUCUAGUUCAAAUUCACUUACCAACAAGCCUUCUUGAAGAGCUACUUGCUUUGCUGUUUCAAUGGCUUCACCACUAUCUAUCUGGUGGAAACAAUAAAGUGAACAGCAAUAAGGAACCAAAUAAAAAUAUGGAACCAUGAAGAAGAUGGUCAAAGCAGAUGAACUAGAUAUCAAAUUGCAAGAGAAGAAGUACGUGAUAAAAGAGAAUGGUGGUUCACUAGCAUAAAAAAGCCAUGGAUGGCAAAAAAAGCUACACUCAUCAGUAUAAAGAGACUUAGGAGACCACACAAAUGGAAAACAAGGAAUUUCACAAACAAUGAACCUAAAAUUAAGAGUUCAGCACAUAUUAUCAUUUGAUGGGUGAUGAACUCAAGCCCUUAAACAGGAAACAACACCAACAGAACAAGGGAAUAAGCAAAAUGGUCACACCAUAAUUUCAUGAAUACAGUUGUCACAGUUAACUGCAAGGCCAAGAGCAUAACAUAAUCUCCAAAGAAAAUAUCCUCCAUCAAUGCCACAAUUAGGCAUACAACACUGGUUUAAAUCCUUAAACGCACUUUGAAGGGAGGGUUUUGGAAGUUCAUUUUGUUUCACGUUCACCCUUGUGUUGAUGAUCUCUAGUCUUUUUGUGCAAAUAACAGAAUGUACCCCUAAUUUCCAGGUAAUGGAAGAAACACUCCAGACUAAGUGCAGUUAAACACAAACACUAGAGCUGGUACCAAAUUGGUUAUGCACGCACUACACUUUUAUCAAAUGAUAUCACUUGCAGGGUCUACUCUAGCUUUUCUACAACAUUUUCAAUUUUCUAAAACAAUAUCUUCUGACUUUUUCAAAUGUGCCUCAAGUUUGGACAUCACAAAAAGGAAACUGUGAGAUUAAACUCGGAAAGAGCCAGCAUCAAUUCCCUAAUAAAAGCUUUCAGAAGAAAGCCAUCCAAGGGCAACUCAUGCAUAAUAAAAACUAUUGCAUCCAAAUCUGGGAGCGGAAAUAAUUUUGUUAUCCUCUUUGUCAGCUAGUACCCUCUGAAACUCCAAUAAAGAUUGGAAAAUUACGAAUUGAAAAUGAAAAUAAGUUUCAGAAAGAAAUCCAAAUAUCAACUAGACUAAGCAGUUAAAGACUGGUAGGCCGUCCUGUACUGAAUAGAACAUGGGUAUCAAACAGCAAGCGUUUCAACUUGCAAAGCUCUAUAAAUCAGUUUUGCAUUAUCCCAUUGUUUAAGUGCUCGCACAUAAAUCUGAAAGCAAUUAGUUCUUAGCUGAAAAAACCACAUAGACUUGCCCGUCUCAAAUUUUGUUUUCAGCAGCUAAAUGCUUCCGUUGUAACAAAAAAGAAAAGGACAAAAGUAGUAUUUUCACUUUUUUUGACAUGACAGAAAUUUAGCUAGAAAGAUCCAUGUUACAGAGGUAAAUGGAAAAGUUUGAAAAUCAUGUGCUAUCAUCCUGUUGCCCUAAUCGUUGGGUUUCAUCCUCCAUGAAGCUAAACUCAUUAGCAGACCUUUCCAAACUUUUCUAAUAGAAAAUAUUCCAAAUCACUCACACUCGGAUACUCUAACAGUCGAUAUUUUGCAAAUGGAGAUCAAUCCUCCUUUGAGAUAGGUUUCAACAUUAACUAAUCAACAAAAGGUCUAAUGCAGAUUAAACAAAAUAAAAGUAACAUUCUGGUAGCCAUUAUGAGAAAUCUAGAAGAUGAGUAAAGCAUUAUGAGAAAUCUGGGGUUAUACCGCAAUAACUUCAUCGAUCACUUCUUCAUCUAAAUUUCUUGGGAUAAAACCUGCUCCAAUGCCUUGAAUUUUGUGAGGGCCUGCACUUUCAAAUUGCAGCCACUAGAACAAAUACAAGAAUUAAAUCUCAAAUAAAAAGAAGCAUGUGAUGUUAGCAUGUAGCUUACCAGGUUUGCCACCAGAAAGUAUGUUGCUUUCUAAGGGUUCUACUCCAAUAACCUGGCUUCCACAUAAAAUAAAAAAAUAAGGAACAGAGAAUGGAAGAGAAAAUCUAUUGCGAGGAAUAUAUUGCUCAACAUUCCAUGAAACUGAGAUGCAUACUUUGAAAAUUUUUGGAGAAUUUCUACAUCUUUUAUAAAUUAAAUAGGUAACUUGAACGAUAAAAAGAAAGGGGAUUUAACUGACGUGGAUACGUAUGAUGAAAAGGCAACUUUCUAAGAUAUACCCACUUACCCAGAACUAAAGAAUAAAUGAAUAGAUGCCUACCUUAAUGCCAGGAUUUCUUUCUUUCAGAUACCGACCAGCACCGGAGAUUGUUCCACCAGUACCAAUCCCUGCAACAAGUAUAUCUACCUUGCCUCUUGUAUCUUCCCAAAUUUCUGGGCCAGUUGUAUCAUAGUGUAUCUGCAGAAGAUAAGACGCAUAAUCAAACUUUUAUCAGAAAUAUGACAGCCUUAAAACACACAAAAGAAGACUCCUCUGAUACUAUCCAGCUGCACAUGUCUCCAACACAUUAUAUCUUUUGUUUUCCUUAGGAAUGGGAAGGUGGCUGUUUCAAGCUGCCUCAUAACAAAAUGGAUUUUAAUUUCAAUUAUAAGUCCAAAAGACUAGGGCUAUAGCCGACUGAGGUAACAUACUUUGUAGGAAUGGGAAGGUGGCUGUUUCAAGCUGCCUCAUAACAAAAUGGAUUUUAAUUUCAAUUAUAAGUCCAAAGACUAGGGCUAUUGCAGACUGAGAUAACGUGCUUCAUAGAAAGCAAUAGAUAAAGCAGGUCUGACAGAAGGAACUACAACUGAGCGAAAUGCGGACAAUUACCUUUGGAUUUGCAGGGUUAUCAAAUUGUUGAAGUAUAUAGGAAUUAGGAGUUUUAUUCCGAAUUUCUUCAGCUUUUUCAACAGCUCCUUUCAUGCCUUUAGCAGGAUCAGUUAAGAUAAGCUCAGCUCCAAAUGCUCUCAGUAGAACCCUCCUUUCAAGACUCAUAGAUGAAGGCAUUGUCAGUAUAAGCUUAUAUCCCCUAGAAGCAGCUAUAAAUGCCAAGCCAAUGCCUGUAUUUCCACUUGUAGGCUCAACCAAAAUACUCUGCAAUAAAAGAAGACAAGAAUGAUAAAAGUCCCCUGUAUCAAAGAUGUGAUACUACCACGAAUUGGUAAAACGAGGACUUCAAAUGCCAAAAAUGUUCAAUGAUGGUAUAAAAAUACUUAAUUUCCUCAACUGUUUCACCUCCCAAAGAAAAUAAAGAGAAAAACACAUACCAACUUUUCAUGUAACAAAAGAUUCAGUGGCAUCUAAGUUUUUAUAGCUGGUUCAGUAUUUUCUCCUUGUACUGAAAGCUGUAGUAUCUAGCAAACAACAAGAGGCAACUUUCUUUGACGUAGAGAUCCUAAAACUUCUGUGAGUGACUAACGUGCUUCAAAAAUUCCAAAAUUUUCAAAUCCAUCACCAUUUAAAAAAAAAAAAAAAAAAAAAAGAAAAAAGAGGCUACACCAGUCCUAGCCCGAGCUACAAAAAGUCAAUUAUGUUCAUUCUUGUUUCAAAAGAGUCAAAAUACACAUCUAAUAUGUAGUCCAUCAGAAAGAUGGAUUUUAAUGUUAUCUUACCUUCCCCGGCGUAAUAACACCCUUCUGCUCUGCAUCAGCUAUCAUGCUGUAUCCUAUCCUGAAAACAAGAGUAGUCUAUCAGGAGAAACAAAAUCAUCUUACACAUCUUUUUUCCAGCUGAAUGGGAUAUCCUCAAUAAUGUUUGAAGCAACAUUUUCAACAUCCUUUAUCAUUCAUUGAGUUUGUAAACUAAGAUAAUAUUGCAAACAUUGAAAUUUUAAUCUUAGCAAAUGUUUCUAGGGGCACCAAUAUGUUGUUCAUCCAGCUAACUAAGAACAACUUAAAAUUUUCUAUGCUAGUCUUAAAAGUCAAAUAGGUCAACAUGCUUAAUGGUCCAGCAUGUCUUCUAUCCACUAGAGUUGCCUGAAUCCUCAAGGUAUCAUUAGUUUCCUUAUGAACCCGCAAGUAUUACCAGAAAUUACAUAGGACUUAUCUGGAAUCUCCAUCUUGUUCCCUGCUACUUAAAUGACAGUAGCUAAGAGGAUAUAUAAGUUAUUUAAUGAAAUUUAGACAAAAUGUAGAUCAUUGGAACAGAUAAUCUCUAGAAUUUCCUACUAAUCAGAGAAGUCCUAUUAGAGGGCAUCUUCCUGUAAGAGCCAAAUUGCUGCUGUUUUAGAAUGACCACCAUGAAUCAUAGUUCAACAUCAAUUUGAGAGUUACUUUAGGUCAAAAGAAGAUGUAUAACGCUUUGUCAUGUAUACAGUAUUUCAGGUUAACUGGGUUACCAAGUUCAGAAUCAUCCGCUACAUGUUCCACUUUUGGUUGAAAGAAGAUGUCCUGUAUAACAGCAUUUCAGGUUAACAGGGUUAUUAGUUCAGAAUUAUCCACUACAUUUUGCUCAGUUUCCAGAAAGAAACUAGUACAUAAUUAGAUUUAUUAGUUAGCUAACUACUUGGCAGUUGGAUGCAAGGAGAUGAUUGCUGAAAUCUUCUAAUAUUACAUAUUUGCAUAGCCUUAUAAAUGGAAACUUAUCUUGACGGCAAAUAAUGUUGCUAAAACAUAUUUAAAUGACUCUGAUAACAGGCCCAUCAUGGAAUGAUUCUAAUGCCAAGGUGUAAUAAUUUGUAAUUACAGAUUAAAUUGUGGUCAAGGAUUGCAAGACAGAAGCUAUUAAUACUGGCGAGGAACCUCCAAUAUAGGGAGCCCUUAUUUGGAAAAACGAGGCCAACUCCUGAAACACAUUAUUUCUGAUUGUUUGACCCACAAGUCCACUUACCUAUCCUUGACACUACAACAUGGCUCCAUAAUUUCAAGCUUUGCGGCUAUGUGUGCUACAGAGCCCUUUACAAUAUUAUUCAAGUACACCAUGGGUGUCUUCCCAAUUAACUGCAAGACAAAAGAAAAGAAGUAAUAGGGCAUCAGAUGACACUUUAAGGCGGUCAUAAUAUUCUUUUUUCUAAGGAUAAAAGAUUCAUAAAUUAUACUAAAGUUACUAGAAAAAGCUGACAACUGCUGUAGUAAGUUAUGCAAAGCAGGAGUUAGAAGCAAUGGAAAGAACACUAAAGCAGGAAAUAGGAACGACAUUGUUCUCAAUGAAAGAUAAAAUUGCCAAAUUUUUCACAUUAUCCGAAUUCUAACCAUAAGAUCACAUAGAUUCCUGCAAGAAAGAGCAGGAAUAGGAAACUACAAAAGAGGGGAGAGGAGGAUAAUUUUUCUUUCACUUGGUAUAAGUAGAUAUCAACUAUGAAUUUAUCAUUAUAUGCCAUAAUCAACCCACCCCAAACACCAAGACUGUAACGACAGAGUAUUAGCAGUUCUUCUAGUUAAUAUUGACAAAUAGUUAGAACAUAAAUAAUGAUUUAUUCCUUCCAAGUUCAUAUCACUAAAUGCCACCAAGAUUCACAAGUUGUUACCUUCCGAAGACUUCCAAAAUCAGACAUUUUGCUAAACAAAAUGUAAGAGAAUAUAAAGAAAGCCAGAUUAUAAUCAACUGAAAUUUGAAUGAAUUUCAAAUAAAGACUACAACUUGCAGCAUGCUUUUGACAAAAACAAACCACCCAGGACUGCAAUUAACCAAAACUUGAGGUGAGAUUGUGACGCAAAAUAUCAGGUACAGAGAGACAAACCAUUCUAAACAUAACAAUGUCAUAAAAUGAUAUUGCUAAAGACAUAUUUCACAAAAAAUAAACAACUACCAUUCGGUUGAAGAUGGAAGCAAAGAAAAUUAAUACGCAACAACUUUCCAAUGAGAAGCCAAGUUUGGAGAGAUACACAACAAAGCAUCCAAUUUUCCAAUAUUGGUGUAAAUAUAGGGCAAACCAGAUUAAGAUUUGACCCAAUUUGAAGUGAACUUGAAAGCACAUUACUACGUCUCAAAAACUGAAUAAAAUCCAAUUUGAUCAAAAUUCUUCAACUCGUUAGCAGUUGUAACAACAGGAGAAUGACACAGAUAGGAUGACACCUAAAGGAAUGGUAAAAGGUAACAAGAAUAAAACAACAUUACAGAUGAGCAUUCAACUAGAACAAUCCAGGGGCAUAUGAUAGAGACGCGUAUAAGAUAAAACAUCCCAUUUUCAAAUAAUACUAAACAAAAAAUAAAACUUUCUAAAUAAAACAAAAAAUCCAAUCACCAAUGAUGAUUUCUGCAUCUUUCCAUCAUAGCCCAGAUGGAAAUUCAACUCAAAAAAAUACAGGGAAAAGUAUACAUACCGUUUUUCUUUUCAUUUUUUGAACAAAUAAAAAUAAAUAAAUUUAAGAAAAAGAAGCCCAGAUGAAAAUUCAACAGAUAAAAUCCAGGGGAAAUGAUGAAACCAACCUGGGUGACAUCUUCUGCUAUGUUAAGCCCUUCAACCUCUGUUACAGGCUGCUGUUCAAUGGAAACUGCUUUGCAGGUUACAGAAGAAAAAGAAACCUUCUCUUCGUAGAACUUUUUGCUGGAAAUACUACUGGAAUUAACGUUCUUGAAGCUCAUAGAACUGACCCCAAAACGACCCCGUUGGAGCAAAGGAUUUUCUGGGCAAAAUUCAGACUUGGAAUUGCAGAGAAAAGUCAAGGGCUUGUUGAUUAAAGAGGAAGCCAUUGCUGUGAAUUCCUCCUCUCCUCUUCUUCUUCCUUUUUCUCCUUUCUUGUUCUUCUUAUCUUUUUCUUUUCUGAGGUUUCUUUGGGACUUUUGUUCUUUUUCUACUUUGUUUUUGGCUUUUCGGGAAAUAUCGGCUUUUGAGUGACCUGAAACGACAACGUUGUAAGGGGACUAGUUCAACAUGUGGGGGCCGUGGGGCCGGUUGGAAAGAUCCUCUCAAUUAAGGAUUGUGAUUCGUUUGUGGAAUUGUUAAAGAAUGAUAAGGACCAAAGACUCGUAACUAGUAAGCAAGGGGUAAAGAUCUUAAAAUUGCAAAUUGGGAGCUAGAAAUGUCAUAUAAUCUUUUCAACCUGAAAAUAUUUGUAGAGUCAUUUUGAGACGUUAAUCAUUUAAGUCCACCUAUAAAAAACGAUUCUAAAAAUUACGACGUUCCUAAGCGAUAAACACAAACAUAAUAUGAGAAUCUCUAAAAUAAAAAAAAAAUAGAUUAUUCAUUAGUUUGUUUCUGUCGCUUAAGUCGUAUCUCGCUCAAUAUAGGAUUUUCUUUUUUUUUUUAUAUUUUGAUAGAAAAAGAAAAUUUUAAGCAAAUAUAUUAUCCAUCUAAAAUUUUUCUCUCAAGGUACACUUGAAAUAUCACGAAAUAACCAUCGCUUAUGCCAAAUUAUUCAUUCCUGACUUCGAGAAUCAGAAAACGAGUAGUUUUGUUUUCUUAAAAUAUGCUAAAUUUUAAAAUGACAACUCAGAGAAAAAUAUUACACUAUGAGUCAAUCAUCUUUGAAUGUUGUUGUUUAACAUUAUGGCGACUAUUGAUUUGGCAGAAAAUAAAACCACCUACUAAACUUAAUAGAUGUUCAUUACUUAUACAUAUAAAGACUUCUAUUUCCAACAAUUUGCUUGAGCAUGCUUUGAAAAUACACAUAUAUUAAUCACAUUUUCUGAAAAUCAAUCACUUCAAAAAACAUCAUCCAAACAGAGCCAUCACCUCAACAUCAAGAUUUCCGUAGUAAUUACAAAUACUUCUCUUCUUAGAUAAGAACAUAAAUGAUAAAAAGAAAAGUUACUCACUCAACUUGUACUUGAAUUUUUCUUCCCCAAGCAACGAAAAUGAGGACAACCGUUCCUGGCAGUUGAAAGCCAUGAUUUGGCCAAAAAAUUUUGUGCGGUUCAGAUCACAUUUUGUAAGUCGAUUUUCACGCGCGUGUGUGGAACUCACAAAAAUUUGUUCUAAAGUUGUGUCGUGUGCAAAGAAAAUUACACCGUGUGCAAUUAAAAUUAUGCAUAAUAGAACCGGCAGAAACGGUUGUACUACAACCGUUUGUGCCCCUUGUCCCCAAGCAACAUAGGCGUUAGACUGCCAAGUGGGAAUGUGGUGAAAAUUACCCAUCGUUAUUCAAUCAUAAUAAUACUAAUAAAUAGAGGACAAAUUUGAUAAAUUAGUAGUACUUUAGGCAUAUUUAUUGAUUUAAUAGGGUAUUUUAGUGAAAAAGAAAUGUUAGAUCUUCUCAUAGUGGGAAAUCCAGGCAAAUUAGUUAGAAUGUUCUUGUCAUAUCCUCCUACCAUUAUGCCUUUCACUUUUCAAAAAUGUUGACCUUUCAUCUUACUCUAAUCGCAUAGAAUAAACUUUUGUCCACAAGAAGAUUUCAUAGUCAAAAAUUAUUUGAUUAUCCCAAGACAAUCAAGUAUCAUCCUACCUUAGCAUAUUAUUUACAUUCACAAUGUCACAAUAAUGUUAAAUUACAGAGGCCGAGUUGCUAAAAUAAAAUUGCUGAGGAUGAAAAAGAAAUUAAUGGCCAGUUCUUAGACGUGAUGAGCUAAGCUUUUGCACAUGUACCCAAAACUUAAAUUAAAUUUUUGGGUUGCACUUUAGUCCUUAAUAUUUAAUUUAAUUAUCAUUUUUCCACACCAAGGAAAGCUACACGUUAUUCGAUUAAAGUCAAACGACCACAUCCACACAGAUAUAUAAAGUCCCUUUCUGCAUGAAUAUGAGAAGACUCUAAACGAAAUUGUCUUCUUGCAUUUCAUACAAAAAGGUGUCCAGAUACAUUUUUGCUUGACCAAAAAUUUGUAAAUCCAACUUAAUGAGGAGAAAAGAAUAUUCUCAUCAAGAAAAGCAUAAACCAAAAAAAAUCAAAUUUAUCAUUUAAGUGGCAUUUCUGAAUUGUAUUAUUUAUGUCUUUUUGGAAGAAAAUUCAAAUUUAACAAGCCCUUUUUACCAUGGCAUUUUUAUAUAUAUAUAUACUAUGGCAUGGUUUUGUUCAAAUUAACCUAAAAAAAGGUGCAUAGUUAAAUUCUAUAAAAUCAAAAUCAACAACUUAGAAAUAAAUAAAGAGAUAAAUUAAUAAAUUUCAAUAUAUAAUUGCACAGGGCCUUUAGGUGACCCCAGACUAUAAUAACAGAUACAUAAACAAAUGGUUUAAUUAAAAAAAAUAAAUUAAAUUAAUUGCAAUAGCAAUAUUACAACAACAAUUAAUUGAUCAACAAAAAGGAAAACACUUAAAUAUGUAGUGCUUCUGAUAAUUGGACCAUGGACUCUGAUGAUCAUCUCUAGACUUGGAAUGGCUGAAAUGGAGAAGCCCACUUGCCCCUAUUUUCCCCUCCACCUUGAGCUCUACUCCCAUUGUUGCCUUCCACAAAGCCAUAGUAUCUGAGCACAAAUGCCAUAACCAGAACCAACCAUUCCAAGCAGAAGAUGGCAAUGGACAAUCCUCCAGCCAAUUUCAGAAUCACAGCAGCAUCAUCUUCCCUGACAUAAGAUUUCAGAGCCCCCAGAAAGUUUGAAGUAGUAGUGAAGAUCAGCACAGAAACAGAUCCCUGAAAAAUCGCGGUAAGCACGGUGGCCACCAUGUGCAGAGCAUACCACUUGUUGGAGCCACCGGAGGCGGCGCUGCAGCCGGAAACGGCUCCAGCGAUGGUGAGAACGUGGAGGAGAAUGAGAAGGAAGCCGGAGACCGAGGGGACUAGCCGGAGGGAGAGAAGCAGGAAGAUGCAACUAGAGGCUGCACCUAAGAGGAUGUAGUUGCUGAGCAGGAAGAUUUUGUGUGUGUGGUAGUGAGAUUUUGCUACAUUGUUGCAAUCUGGGCUGUUGAUUGAGAGUCCCAUUUGGAAGAAAUUUGAGGAAAGAUUGAUCAGAUUCUUGAUUUUUGUAUCUGGGAUGGAUGAAGAAAUGAGGAGAAAAGAUGUGUAUUUACAGGGCUAGUGAGAUGGAAUGAUGGAGUGGGGAGUGAGGGGACUUGGUUUUUAAAGCUUUUGAGGGAUUUGACCGUUGCAUCAUUUUAACGGCUAGAUUGCAAUAAAAUUUAGGACACUUUUUUUUUGAAAGGUAACGGCUAUAUUUUAUGCUUGCUUUGUCUGGAUGUUUGGUGAGAGUGAAAUGGGCUAGCUGGCAGAAGCACUAAAAGCCAACAAAAACAAAUAAAGAAAGAAAAAGAACCUUUUAAAAAGGGAAAAUCAGUAGGUAAACUAUGAAAGGAUCCAAAGAAAGGGGAAAUUUGCCACAUGCCAAAGAAAAAAUAAAUUUCAUUUUACUUGUAUUAUUUUAUUAUUGUAAAAGUAAGAGAUGAUUUUAUCAGUUUUGAUUCUAAAACGCCUAGAUUUUAUUUAUGAUUUUUAGUAUGUUUUAUAGAACUAAUCUUCUACAUGAUUACCAGUGAGAUUUUCAUAUUGUAUUUGAACUUCAUGUUUAAAUUUUGAUUCCUUUUUACUUCUGUUACAUUCAUGCUGAAGAAAUUCUUUUGCCAAUCUUUAUUACUAAGAGUUCUUUUGUAAUGUGUUAGGCAAUUAAUUCUUAUGUACAAUAAAUCAAAUGCUCACGACCUAAUAAUGCAUACAGAUGCAAAGCACAAAAGAUUCAAAAUCUUCCAUAUUUCUCUUUUCUUGAGGAAAUUCAAAAUCUUCCAUAAUUCAAAAUUCAUGUGGGACAAAUUUUACUUUGCGCUCUCAACUUAUAUACUAUUCUCACUUUGCACCUUUAACUUUAAUUUUGAACACUUUACGCUCUUAGUUCUCAUAUGUGUCCUGUUUAAGCCUAACUGAUAAUGUGGUAGAAAAAUUAACAAAAUAAAAUUCGACCUAAUGGUUGAAAUUACACUAUCUUGAGCUUCCAUCAUCCAAAAUUUUUUUUUUUAUUAUAUAUAUACAGAAUAUUAGCACAUGUUUUUCUCUUUUGAGGAGAUUUUUGCUUAUUGUUGAGAUAUUUGCUUGUUGUGAAGGUUAAAAUAUAUGUUGUUAUCAAUUCAGGAUUACCCUCUUUUUUUUUUUUUUUUACGAUCUAAAGGGGUAUUCCGGAAUCACCCGAACUAAUCCCCCCAGACCGAGCAGAGCUCGCCCUAAAGAUACCGAACAACGGUAGCAAGUGGGUGUCGAAUCUGGGAUCUUGCUGUAAAGACGAUCGGAACCAGCCGAGCUAUCCACUGGGGCAUUCAUGAUUACCCUCUUAACUAAUAACUUUUGCUCUUUGAUACCUUGUUCAAUCUUUUUUUUUUUCACAAUAUUGUGAAAUGAAAUAAACCCAAAUCCAGUGGGUGCAAAGAGCGAGAUGAAAUUCUUGCACUCAAUUGUUGCAUGCUUCUGCAAUCUGAACCUUACCUUUUAUUCCUUACAAUUGAUUUUGUCACUAGUUAAAUGUAAAACAAACUCAUAGAUCAUAUGUUGAGUACCGUCCAAAUACUCCCAUUUUGAGCGGUUUCAGUCCUGCAACCAUAAGGGGAAACAAAUCAUGAAAUUAUUACCUUGCUUACGAGUUUAAAUAAAUGAUUUUUUUUUCCUGAAAUUUCACUUACUAAUAAUGUAAAUUCGACAUCAAUUGUCCCAGCUUCAGGAUCAGCAAUUAUCGUGAAGGCUUCUUUUGAAAGAACAAUAGAUUGUUCACAAUCGACGCAGUGAUCAAUGGUCCUUACAACCACGCUUUCACCAGUACAAGGGGUGGCGGAACCUUGGCUUCUUGGCCCUAUGCACGUCACAUUGUACCUUUUAUCGCACCUAGCUCCACCAUCCCAAUAUUGAUCGCUGAGGGACACAAAUUUAAUGCCGGUUGGAAGUUUAUAGCAAGCAUUUGCUGCAGAUGAAACCCCAUGUUAAAUAUGUUGACAUAUAUAAACACAUAUCUCACACAAACACACACACACACAUAUAUAUACAUCCAUAUAAACACAGAUAUAUAUAUACACACGCAUACAUGCAUACACAUAUAUAUAGCAUGUAUGCGUGUGUAUAUAUAUAUCUGUGUUUAUAUAUGUACAUCCAUAUAAACACAGAGAUAUAAAUAUACAUGCAUACAUGCAUACAUACAUAUAUAUAUAUAUAUAUAUAUAUAUAUAUAUUAGAGUCAUCGAAGGCUACCCGAAUUGGAUGCACAUGAUAAAUUCGAUCCGAUCCAUGUAGUAUUUUUUCUUUUAAUGUUUAAAGUUAAAUCUGCUAAUUUAUACUAAUUUUGUCUAAUUGUUUCUUAUUUCUUAUGUCUAUACUUUCUUUGAAUUAUAUAAAGGGUUUUUAAGUUGGGAAGCAUAUUAUCAUAGAAAUUUUGGAUGAAGUAUUGGCCUCUACUUUGUUUUUAAAUGCUACUCAACUCCUUUAUCCCAAAAAGUGAAAAGAAUGAUGAAAAUCUAUCUUAUGACAAACAAAGGAUGAAUUUAUCUAUUAGAGUAAUAACUCUUAUAUUAGUAAAAUAACCCACUCUCAUAAUUUAUAUUUGUGGGGGUAAAAAGUUUGGAUGAUCGUGUUUUUUUUCCCCAAAGACGAUAUAUUCUUAUUCUCACGCCCCAUCAGCGAAUCGGACCCUACUACAACAACCAGUUAUAACAUACAGGACACAGAUAAAAAAAAUCUCCAAAAUUUUAGAAAUCAAAGACUUUCUCCCUCAAAUAGAAAAUUCAAUGUAUAAGAAAAUUGCACUUCAAAAUUUGGUAUCUACGUUUAUAUCUUCUAAUCAUUCGUAUACUUUUCAUAUACUUAGAAUAAAAAAUGAAAUAUUCAAUGCAAAUCAAAUAUCUAAUUGGUCCUAUUCGUUUAAAACGGGUAUGGAAUUAACGGAUAUCCGCUUUGAAUGAACCUGGAUAUGAAUCACAUAAUAAAUAAUAAAAUCCAAGCUGUAAACAAUUGAUAUGAUCUAACCUGUAAGUAUCCCUAUUGCUGAUACUGGAAUCAAGAAAUAACAAAAAUUCGAGUUGGAAAAAUGGUACUCACGAUAGUAUCUUGUAAAGUAUACAGCUGUUCCUUUUGUAGCCAAAGAUGGAGAUACAAGACCUAACACAAAGCCAAAAACUACGAGGGCAUGUAAAUUCUUCGUAGUCAUCUCCCUUUUCUUUCUCUUUUUCUUAUGAUGAAUUCUAACGGUAUUCUUAUGAGUGCUAAAACACAUGUAUACUGUAUUGGAAUUGACCAUGCCUUUUUAUAGUUCAAAGUUUGAGGACAUCCCAAGGGGGAAAAAGGAAAGCAUUUCCACCUAAUUAAGAAGUAUUUCCACUUAAAAGAAGGGACAUUUAUGGUUUAACCAACUUGGAGAUUACCUUUCAAAGUUUUUGUCAUCUACCAUUCAUUUUUUUUACGAUAUGUCUAAUGGAUGCCCAUAAGGCACUCAUUAAAAUAUAUUUCAAGUGUCAUAUUUUUGAAAAUGUAAAAUUAACUAGAUAAAGUAAAUAAAUGCAAUAGAGGGUAGGUAAGAUUAAAUAGAAAAAAUAUAUAAAUGCAAAGGAGGAUAAUAAUUGUGAAUAUGUGCAUAUAUAUUAUAUGUUAGGUGAAUAUUAGAUAUGUUAACGGGUGCCUUAGAAAAACCCAUUUUUUUAACAUAGAUGAAAAUUUUCUUUGUCAAUUUUUGGAUAAAAAGCAUUAAUUAGGAAAAUCAAUUUAGUUCAAAUUUUGGUUUAUUGCCUCCAAUAAUUAUGGUUUCUAUAAGAUUGCAGGUUCAUUAAGUGUUGGAUAGUUAUUGUGCUACUUAAUUUGAUAAAAUUGCAUUGUUUGACCACCUGAUAAAGAAGGGCCAAAUUUAUGCUAACAAGUUCCAAAGGGCCAAAUUUAUGGAGAAAUUUCUAAAUUUGUGAUGAAUUUCAAAAAAAUUCUGCAAAUGGGUGAAUUUGGCGUGGGGUUCUGACCAGGGGUCUUCGCAUUCAGUAAAUACGAGAUUCAGAUAAGCUUAGAUUCAGCAAAUGUGAGCUCUCAAAAAUUUUUAAGGGUUAAUUUUUUUUCCAAAUAGCAGCAGCAUAAAUUACAUAGAUAGGGGCUAGUAUUGAAGUAACUUAAGGGGUUUUUCUUGACUAAUAUGGACGUGAAUGUAUAGAGACAGGAUAAUAGAUGACGCGGAUUGUCUAACCAAAAAAGAGAAGCUAUAAAUUGGAUUGUCUAAAUAAUAGGUCUAUGUUAUUUUGCAAUGCCGAGGGGACGUACCGAUAAGAGCUAAAUUUGUCUUCUUUUUGAAUAUGUUCUAUAUCAGCUUUGAGUCCAUUUGUAAGAUCAAGUGGUAUAAAUUGUCCAUUUUGUGUCACUAACUUGCACCUUCAGCUAAUAAAUGGAAUAGUUGUGAUUGUUGUUAUUUUACAUGCAAAAUCUCUUUUGGUCGUAUGUAAAAUGAUCUAGCUUAAGUGGAAAUGAAAUGAGGAAGGAUUUGAAGUUGGAAAAGUGUACAUGUGAUGUGGUAAAUGAGGUGAGUUUGCACUAAAAAAAGGAUAAAAUGAUCUUGUUUAAAAGAGGGGAUAUUGAUUUGGAGAGUAUUAGUUCAAAGUGUGGAAAAAGGAACUGUAUUUGAAUGUCAUAUCAGUAACCGCAAGAGUAACCACUCGCAGUUUGCAUUUCUUUACCAAAAAUCUUUAUCUUUUUUUUUCAAAAACAUGAAUCUCACAUUUAUCAAAUCAGAAACAUGAAUUUCGCAUUUCAUAAAUGCGAAGAUUCUACUCCUAGAAUCAAUCCCAAAAACAACGCCUCUUGUAGAAAUUUUUUUUUCAUAACAAAUUAAGAAUUUACUCCAAAUUUAUGCCAGCUAGCUAAACUGAGAAAUAUUGAUAAUCUUAUUAUGACUUAAAAAAUGAAAACAAACCAUAUUAACUUUAAAGUUAUUCAUGCUCGAAAAAGUUGCACACUAAUCUUCUACCAUAUGGCAAUAUUAUGAGAAAUACUGACUUUGUUCCGACCAAGUAAAACCAGAUAAUAAAUAGUUGUUCUUGCCACCUUUAACCGUUCUAUUUUUUUGGGGCUCCAUAGAUCCUAAAUAAUAUUUUUAAAUGAUUUAUUUGACAAUGAAAAAAGUUGUUUGAUAUAAUGUAUUAAAAUAUGAUCGACUAAUGAGGUGCCUAGGUGUGAGUUUUGUAGAAAAGUGUGGUUAAGUUAGAAAAACAUCUAAAUGUAGGGAUGUAAUAAUUAUAAUUGUGUUUGUUUAUAUGAUAAGUUAGAUAUAAUUUGAAUAUGCUAUGGAGUACCCAUUAGAAAAUGUUUAAAAAUAUUAUAAUAGAUUCAUAAAUACAAUCAUAAGCUUCUUCCAACAAAAAAAUUCAUAACGUAACGUGUAGUAAAUAAAACUCCAAAUAUUCAUCAAGAUAGAAAAAGAAUGUGAAUCUAGAAUUUCUAAAUUUUGAAAUCUCAACCUUAUAUGACAAUAUUAUUAGACAUUAGUUAUUUCCUUUUAGGGUAACUUUUUAUACUUAGUGUAUAAUUUUUUUAUAAUAACAAAUUCAGAUCAUAUCAUAUAAUAUGAAUUUGAAAUUCAAUUUAUAUAUAUAUAUAUAUAUAUGGCUAAUAUCCAAAUCUAUUAGUGUUAAAAAAUUACAACACUAUCGGUGCACGAAAAUUAAUCCAUUUUUUAUUAGUAUUCUUAUUUUUUAAUGACGUAAGCCAAUGAAUUAAUUAUUGGAUCAUUUGAAACCCGAACUUGCAAUAAAGCCCCACCAACCGAAAGGCCUGAGCUGACAAUAUUUUUAAUACUCCUAAAGCCCCUAAACUUUUCCCAUAAUUCCAACCAUGUCCUUGGACAGAAUGGACUCCUCAUCGGACUCCCCGUCGACGUCGUUUAGCAACCGCGACUGGUUCUUCCCUUCCCAAUCCUUCCCAAACUCUUCCCACCAUAUCCCAAGAACACCCAUCCGUAGAUUCUCCUCUCCUUAUCCAAAACGGGCUGCAACGCCGUCGUUUCAGAGCUUUCCGGCCAGUCCUCCGCCGCCGCCGUCGACUCCUUCAAUAUCUAAUUCUUCUCCUCCUCCUCCUCCUCCUCCGCCGGCUAACUACUACGCCAAGUAUGCCGGCGUACGACGCGGUUCUGCUUACCUCAGUCGUCAGUUGCCAAAUCAGAAGUCAACGAGUCAGAACGACGGCGGUGGAAUUGGUGGUCAAGGAAUUAAGAGCAAGUCCGACGACGCCGUUUCUGAGUUCAGGGAGGAUAGUAAAACGACGACGGAGCCGGCGGGCAAGAGGCUGACUGGCUUAUUCGGUGGCCGGUUGAUUGUUCGUUGGCAAACGGCUUUCACCGCUGCAGUGAGUUUUGACUUUAACUCCUGUCCAGUUCUACGUGGCAUGUUAUAACAAAUCUGUAACAAAAUUUCAAUUUAGUCCCUUAUGUUUUUUAAUAGGUUUAAUUUUAUCCCUUAUGUUUCUUUCUUAACACAUGUAGUCCUUCAUGUAUUCCUGUUUGCUGUGCAAAAUAGUAUGCGGAGCUGACGUAGCACCGGCGUGUUUGGUUGCAGGUAUUAGUAACAGCAUUUUCGUCGUUGGUGCAUAAAAAUUUUGCGUUACACAAUGAGGUUAUUCGUUUACAGGUAAUGUAUGUUUUUCACCACCUUAAUACUAACAAAUUUUGAUCUUUAUGUAGAAUAUUAAUAUUAGUUUCUGUAAUAGUGUUCAAGUUUAGAUGGUAAACAGCAGAAAUCUUGAAAUAUGUAGUGUAAGAAUAGACUUUAAAUUCAUCUAAAGAUUGAAUCUAGCAUAAGGUCAGCUUAAUUUAGUGCAUAAGUUUAAUACAAUGUAACCAUUUAACAGCUUAGCAGUGUUUCUCACAUUCUGAUAAUAAUAAUGUUUUUAUAGCUAAAUAGUUUUGAAAUUGCUAUGGGAUUCAAUUAAAACCAUAACAUGAUGGCUUUGGCUAGCUUGAGAUGCAUUGUCAAGUAUCAACUCUGGUGAAACCUUAAAUAUUUUGGUUAAAUUGUUUCGAAAGAAUUUAGCUUUGAUUUCAUUUACCGCUGGAUUCCACAUUUUGCCUAAGUUGUUACUUGAAUGUGUGGUAGUUCUGUUUAGGCUUCAAUUAAUCAAGCAAUCAACAUUGUUUAAGUCCCAUGUGAUGAUAGAUACUUAUCUUUUGUCGAUUGUGAAAAUUGAUUUUCUUUAAUAUUUUUGUGAAUAAUAAGUUAAUAAGUACUCCAUAGAUGAUAUUACUACACCAUAUAUUCCUUUUGAUCACCUUUUGUUUUGUUUUUCUCCUCUUUGUUCCUUUUCCACAAAUUGCAGGAUCAAAUUUUCAAGCUCAAUCACCGGUUACUGGUUUGCAGUUUGCUUGAUUCUAUAGAUGAUAUUGAUUCAACGACACACGACAUAAACCAUCUUUCUAACAAAAGCUUGAAAAACAUAGCUGUAGUCGCCUCACUAGCAUUGCUAUCAAUUCCAUUUCUUUUUCUCAAGUAUGUUGACUAUGUCUCAAAUUCGAGAAGAUUGUCUGACAUUCUCACAGAGGAAGUAUCUUUAAACAAGCAGCUGGCAUACAGGGUUGAUGCUUUUUUAUCUGUCCAUCCCUAUGCUAAGCCACUCGCCUUGUUAGUUGCAACAGUACUACUUAUUUGUCUUGGCGGGUUAGCACUUUUUGGGGUUACAGAUGACAGCUUAGCAGAUUCCCUAUGGUUAUCUUGGACCUAUGUUGCAGACUCAGGCAAUCAUGCUAAUUCCGAGGGCAUUGGUCCGAGGUUAGUGUCAGUGUCCAUUAGCUUUGGUGGGAUGCUCGUAUUUGCAAUGAUGCUGGGACUCGUUUCAGAUGCAAUUUCUGAGAAGUUUGACUCACUGAGAAAAGGAAGAAGUGAAGUUGUAGGGCAAAAUCACACUCUUAUCCUUGGGUGGAGUGACAAGUUGGUAAGCCUUUGCUCUUCAAACCUUAAUUAGAAGUAGUAGAUUUUCUAGUGUUGCUUUUGGAGUACCUGCAAGCAUUUUCUUUAUUUAUUUAUUUUUUCCAUCAGUCUAGUGAUACAUAAUAACCUUGUUUUUAUCCUCCUUUUAAUCUCCAAAAUCUCAUCCAAUUUUAGCCCUGUUAUCAAUAAUAAAUUCUUUUUUGAGAGUUGAAGAUGUAUUUUUCAUUUAUAUUCUGUUUAUCUAGUUCUACAUCAUCUGCUAUCAAACUUGCUUUGCUUUCAAACAAAGAAUGUGUAUAUGCUUGAUUUACAAUAGAAUAAGUUUGUACAUUACUAGGGCUUUUUACCAAGUAAUUCUUGGAUCAACAUCUCGAAUGCUAGCAAAUGUUCAGAUUCCUUUUUCUUUGAUGUUUGUGCUUAUGUUCAUUCCAUAUUCCUUGAGGGUACUUCCGGGGACUUUGGAUUUAAGGCAAAAGAGAGUAGAAUUGCCGAAAUUGACUGCCGAUAAAUAAGAGCAGAUAAGAAUUGCAUGCUCAGCUUUAACUCUACUUGUACAGCAGAAUUUAUUUUCUGUUCAUGUGAUUGCACAAGCAUAAGCCACCAUUGUAAUUCCUGAAAAUACUUCUUUAUGCUCAGGGAUCUCUAUUGAAUCAACUUGCUAUAGCCAAUGAGAGUUUGGGUGGUGGAAUGGUUGUGGUUAUGGCUGAAAGAGACAAAGAAGAGAUGGAGCUUGACAUUGCUAAAAUGGAAUUUGAUUUUAGAGGAACAUCUGUUCUAUGCAGAAGUGGAAGCCCUUUGAUUUUAGCCGACCUGAAAAAGGUAUAUCCUAUUCCUGGGCUUAAUCACAUGCAACAAACAGCUAUCCAAAAUUUUUUUUAUCAUUGUUUUUUGAUCCAUGAAGUAAGUUGGCCUACUUUAUACUCUUUUUCACAAAUGGGUGGCUAUAAUUAGCUGCUCUUCUAUCAUAGUUUGAUCAAAUUAAGGUUUCUUGAUUUUUGAACUGAUUUUCUAAUAUAGCUUGCAUGGAAUUUGCCAGGUAUCUGUCUCUAAGGCUCGUGCAAUUGUCGUUCUUGCCGAAGAUGGAAAUGCCGACCAGGUAGCUUCAUGAAAGAAAUCAUCAUCUUUGAUACUUAAGAAGUGAACUACUAUUGAAGAACUUCUUUCUUUAUUCUUUGUUAUACAGAGUGAUGCUCGUGCCUUGCGGACAGUUCUAAGCUUAACAGGAGUCAAAGAAGGACUAAGGGGACAUAUAGUGGUCGAACUGAGUGAUCUUGAUAAUGAAGUCCUUGUUAAACUUGUAGGUGGAGAUCUAGUUGAAACAGUUGUCGCACAUGAUGUAAUUGGGCGGCUAAUGAUUCAAUGUGCUCGGCAGCCAGGCCUUGCGCAGGUCAAAUUUACUUGCUUUCUGCUUUUGAACUAUUCAUGCAGGCAAGAAACUGAAUGGUCUGUAAUUGGUUUCUUAUCAACUUAAACUACAUGUCUGUAUGGACUUGGUUUGGCAGAUAUGGGAAGACAUUCUUGGCUUUGAGAAUUGUGAGUUCUACAUCAAAAGAUGGCCUCAGUUGGAUGGAAUGCCCUUUGAGGAAGUCUUGAUUUGCUUCCCAGACGCUAUUCCUUGUGGUGUCAAGGCAGCAUCGUAUGGUGGAAAAAUAAUUUUGAAUCCUGACGACUCCUAUGUUUUGCAAGCAGGAGAUGAAGUUCUUGUGAUUGCAGAAGACGAUGAUACAUAUGCUCCAGCAGCACUGCCUACGGUGCUUCCCUUUUCUUUAUAACAUGCUCAUAAUAUAAAUUGUCCUCAUAUUUUUUAUGUCAAUUCCAUUCAGAAUUUACCCAUGCCUAGUCAAGGUGUUUGCUUCCUCAUGUUAAAAUAACAUUAUGCAAUGCGGAAAAAAUAAAUGGAAAAUCAGGAGCAAUGUGGAAAAAAUAAAUAGAAAAUUGGGAAUGAACAGAUAUGAGAAAACAAAAGAUGGAAUAGACAUGAUUGAUAUCGCCUUUAUUAGUUCACAUACAAAGAUAUGCUUUCCACUUCUUUCAACCAUAAAAGAUGCCAACUUUUGACCUCUUCAAGUAUUGAGCUGUUUAUUGACUCUUAAUACGUUGAUUCAUCAAGCUGAUCAAUAGCAUCUAUGUCUGGUUCUGGUAAACUGGUCAGUCUAACUGCGUUUAUGAUCAGAAUGACUAGAUAGGCAAUUGGAAUAGUGUGAUGUCAUUUUUGGAUCUUGGAAGGGUUAGGAGUAUGUGGUUGUACUUCUGCAAGUGGAAAAGCUACUUGUCUGCAGAUCAAGUAAAUUGCGCAUUGGGCAGUUGCAAUGCUGUAGUUUUACCAUCAUAGAGUUAUUGCUUCUGAAUUUAAGGGUGUGUUCAAAAUAAGCUUGCUCGUUAAGAGCUUACAACAGUGAAACCACAUACUAAAUUUUAAGCACUCUGAAAGGCUUUCCAAUGUUUUCGUCUUGUCUGAUUGGAGAAUUGGAAAGAAAGUGCUUAAUCAUUUCAAAGAAAGAAUAUCAUCCAAUGGUAGGCCACUCUGCAAAGAAAUGCUCUUCUGCUCUUGACAGUAUGGUGAUUCCUGUGAUGGAAUCCAACUAAGUGGGGCAUACCAUAAACAAAACUUACAGACACAUAAUUAAUUUGGUUAUUCAGGUCAAAGAAGCACCAUUCAUACCCAUCACCCGACCAGCAAGAAAGCCACAGAAGAUACUACUUUGUGGAUGGAGGCGGGACAUUGAUGAUAUGAUUGUGGUAAGCUCUAUCAAUCAUAGCCCCUAAUUCUUUUCUCUUUUCACCUGAAUGCUGCAGGUUCAGAGAGGAUAUCUACCCAAGGAUUUUAUUGUUCCAAAAUCUGCAGAGCGCAUACUUUUUUGUGGUUGGCGUCGAGAUAUGGAAGAUAUGAUUAUGGUAUCCUUGCCAGAAGCUACCAUAUGUUUCCACUACUUAUACCAGUGUCUUAUGCAAUUCAAUGCGGCCAAGCUAUUCACAGAACACAUUCUGAUAUGCAUCUGCAUCCCAUUACUCAACAUGGAGCACAACCUUUAAGUUCUUCCAAUUUGGGAUCCUUCUUUGAUUAAUUCAACCUUGGCUUCCUAAGACAUAACAUCUAACAUCUUAUGACUUACAUACCAUAUUAAAGUCUACACUAUUGUGCUAGGUAUUGGAUGCCUUUUUAGCACCUGAUUCAGAGUUGUGGAUGCUCAAUGAAGUUCCCGAAAAGGAAAGGGAGAAAAAGCUCAUAGAUGGUGGCCUUGAUAGCAGCAGAUUGGUCAAUAUAACGCUGGUUAACCGUGAAGGAAAUGCUGUUGUUUGACGUCACCUUGAAAGCCUGCCAUUAGAAUCCUUUGAUUCUGUAAGUAUUCUGUUUUUGUAAUUGUGUUAUAAGCAUCUCUUUUAUGACUUUAACAGAAAAUUGUCGCCAGUAAACUGGUCUGCCAAAGUCCAAUCAACAUUAAAAAGUGGUACCUUUAGACCAAUUACCAACAUCUUGGUUCAAGUAGUGAUUAUCUGGACAACUACUAGUCUUUGAAUUGUCUAAUCUCCUUCUCUGUACCAAAGCUCCUCCUAUUUAUAUGCAGAUCUUAAUUUUAGCUGAUGAAUCAGUUGAAGAUUCAGCAAUCCAGGCUGAUUCCAGAUCUCUUGCCACAUUGCUUCUUAUCCGUGAUAUUCUGGUACUUUGCUCAGACAUUGUCAUUUAUCAACUUAAUCUCUGGUCUAGUAUUCAUGGAAAGACUUAAGCCCAUAUUUUACUCAUCUUCCUCUCCAUUUGCUACUUCUGAAUAGAUUAAGUCUAGUAUUUUUGGAAACACUUAAACGCAUAUUUGACUCAUCUACCUCUCCAUUUGCUUCUUCUGCAUUUAUACCAUCAAUCAUAGUCAAUCUAUAUUUCUGGCUGUUAAAACAGUACGUCUAGGUUCUAAAGAAUCUAUUGCAUUCGAAUUUCUUAUUUUAAUUUGCUACUGAAUGGUAAAUAUCAUAACAGCACCAUGAUAGGAAAUAGCCAACUUAAAUUAUGCGAGCUUCGCCAGAUAUUGGCACUUUUUCCUUUCUUUUAUGGUGAAUAAACACCGUUAUUUUCUUUUUCAGGUUUAUGGAGUAGUUUAGACUUUUCAACACUAAUUGCAUCUUCUUAUUCUAUGUGAUGCUGCUUCGUGUACAGUUCUUGCUGCUCACUUCUAUUGCUCUUCUUACCAAAAUUGCAUAGUAGGUUGUACUUGAGCAAGACUAAUUUACUCUUCCUUUUUCUUUUGGGUGGAAGAUAUGCUUAUAAUCACUUCUAUGGUGUCCUAAUGUACUCUCGAUGGAUAUCUUCUUACAGUAAUUUUUGUGAGAAAAGGUAGCAACUUCGUUAUGUUUGUGACAGUUAUGGUUAGAAUUGCAAUAUGUACAUCUUGCAUGCUACCUUCUGUAAGAUGUAUACUAGCACAGUCAUCAAGAUUUUAUAUUAAUUUGCAUUUAAGUUGUUUUGUACUUUUUAAUUGCUUUUAUUCGGUCAGCUAUGAAGUUUAUAAAUAUUAUACCCUCAAUGUGCAUCAGUAUUCUGAAUCCGGGUUUCAGCUCUGAAUAUCAUAUGCAUGCAUGGCUUUCAAGAAAACAUCUUUUGCAGCAGCUUUUGACCAGCUUGAUUAAGUCUUGAGAAGAACCAUAUGCCCUGAAACCUUCCCUUUACUUAAUGAAAGAGUUUAGAGGAUGGAAGAUAUGAUAGUCCUUUGUGAUAGAUCACAACAUUAGGACCCAGAUCCAAAUGCUAUUACGAUUUACUGCUCACGUGCUUCUGUAGCUGCACGAUGUUUAAAGCAUUUGAGCCUUUUAGAUUCAGAAAAUCAGGAAGACCUAAUCUUUCUUUUGACUUUGCAGGCGAAACGCCUUCCAUACAGGGAAGCUAUGGUUUCACAAGUUCACAGAAGUAGCUUCUCACAAGGUUCCUGGAUUGGGGAAAUGCAGCAGGCUUCAGAUAAGUCGGUUAUAAUUAGUGAAAUCCUGGACCCCAGGACUAAAAACCUCUUAUCUAUGUCAAAAAUCAGUGACUAUGUCUUAUCAAACGAGCUUGUCAGCAUGGCACUAGCAAUGGUUGCAGAGGAUCGGCAAAUAAAUGAUGUACUGGAGGAGCUUUUUGCGGAAGAGGUACUACUUUCAGCCACUAGAUUAAGUGCAUUUUAAACUGCUCUUUUUUUUCUUUAAUUGGAAAUCCUGAGCCACUAAUUAGGUAUAAAUAAUCACAGUUUGGUUAGGUAAUUAAGAAGUGAUGUUUUCCUUCGACAACUUUUUAAUGUAGUGAGUUGCAGAGUAUUCCCAACAGAAGCGUGCAAAGAUAACACAUCAAUUUGCUAUUUGCCCUUUUAUGCGCCCUAAAAGAACAAAGUAACAAAAACAAAGACUUGCAUGCUAAAUUUUAUGUAGCUGUAAGUUAUGUAUGAAAAAUCUAUCUAUUAUGAAGUAACAGUGAUAUUUUAAAAAUAACGAGCCAGUGGAAUGUUGCCUUAUAUUGAAUUUUGAUUGAGUUAAUAGCUCUGUUGUCAGAUGUUACCUACAGUGUAGAAUUGCCUAAAGGGUCCUCUACUAGCUUUUUAUCAGAUUGUUCCUUAGUGAUAUCACUUGACAACGCCCCCCCGGUAGCUCGGAUGGUCGCCCAGUUCUUAGUUAAGGCUGCCGACCCCAGGUUCGAGUCCCGUUGCCCGGAGUGGGUUGGGGUUGCCCUCUCCCGGGCCGCAGGGGGAUUUAGUCGGGCCAAAGCCCCGGACACCCCCUGUGUAGGAAAAAAAAAAUAUCACUUGACAACAGGGGCGGAUUUAUGGUGGGGGCGGUGGGGGCCUGUAAUUUCUAUAAUACCAAUAGAAUUUUGAUAUAAUCUCAAGUGUGUCUCUUGAAGUUUUGUGUAUUCUUUGGUUUAUAUGCUUCUAAAAUUGACUUUGAUUCUGUCUGUUGCUAUAGCUAUCGUAGAAAGGGUUUUUUCAGUUAUGAAUAUGGUAAAAAAUCGGUUACGAAAUAGAAUGGGAGACAUUGGAUGAAUGAUUGUUUAGUUAAUUAUAUUGAGAAAAAUAUAUUUUAUGAAAUUCAAAAUGAAAAAAUUGUAAACCGUUAUCAAAAUAUGAAAACUCGUCGUGAGCAAUUGUAAAUGAUUUAGUUUACUUUUUGAAAUAAAAUUAUUAUUACAUUAAUAAUUUUGAGUUUGUCAUUUUAUGUCUUUCAUGGAAUAUAUGCAUCAUUUGUACUUGUUGGUGAAUAUUUUUUUUGCUUAAAAAACCGGAAAAAGAGUAGGUAAAAAAUUUCAGAAUUGCUUUUGCUCCCACUGAGAAAAUUUUCUAGCUCCGCCGCUGCUUGACAACACCCAACUUUAUGACUAAUUAGUCUGAAUAAACCAAACAGUGCUUUUAAAGUCUUCUUUGGUGGUAAACAUAGACCAAAAAAAAAAAGAGGGAACUGCAUUGUUUUUCCUAUAAAUUCUACGGAUUUGUUUCUCUUUAUUAUUAUCUCCAAGAUAUCAGGAUACACCGUUUCUUUGACAGGGAAAUGAGAUGCAAAUAAGAGGUGCGGAAUUGUAUCUCCGGGAAGGGGAGGAGCUGAGUUUCUAUGAAGUACUACUUCGAGCACGUCAAAGAAGAGAGAUAGUCAUUGGGUAUCGCGUGGCUAACACAGAGAGAGCUGUAAUCAAUCCCCCAGCCAAAAAUGAGAAGCGAAAAUGGUCAGUAAAUGAUGUUUUUGUGGUAAUUGCUGAGAAAGAAUGAGAAGUCACCAUAUUCCUGAAACCAGUGUGAAUACUUGGAAUGGGAAGUGAUGGUAAAAGUCCAAAGAGAAUGAGGAAGCAUUAGGUUCUUGAUAUAAUCAGCAAGGCAUAUGGCAAGGACAGUCACAAUCCUUUCUUGCUUGACAAGAAUCAAGUUAUCUGCAUGCAAUUGCCAGGCUGCAAUUCUUUUACUCAACGUUAUUACUCUGAAAUAAGCUGAAAUCUGUAGAUAGUAUUUGCAGAAUCCCCUUUUCUUUUCUUUUUUUUUCCAAUUUUCCCACUAUAUUGUGUGGGAUUAGCUCAAUUUAACCUAGAUGACAACUGUAUGUCUUGUUUUAUUUUAUUUUUUUCGCUUAUCACUUUGUAGUAUGUAAGAUCAGCUGUAAAUAACAAUGAGAACUAGUGAAGAGGGCACACCCUAUGUGUGUGUGUGCAAAUCUAAAAGAACAAUUAUUGAAAAGAAAAAUUAGGAAAAUUUUGGUAGUUGUUGGAGAUUUUUUUUUUAUUUUAAUAUGAAGGAAAGAAUUGUGUUUUUCUUUCUUGCUUUUUUUUUUUUGAAUUUGGAGGGGAAGUUGUUGGCCGUUAUUACCUUAUUAGAAGUUUUAUUAGGUUAGAGAAAUGAGGAUGUUGCAUGUAUGUGAUGUGUGUGUGUGUUUAUUUUAGGGAGAUAAUGGUACCAUUUUGCUCUUUAUUUGAAAGGUAAAAAAAAUAGGAAUUAUAAAAGGUGACACGAAUGGUAUAGACAUAUGGUAUAGACAUUGAUGAGUCUUAUUGACUUUAGAAGUUCACUGUGCACUUUUCUUUUGUCCAAUAAUUCUUUUCACGGGCAUCAACUAUGAAGUGAUAAAUCUUGUUAAGUAGAACAUACCAGAGUGCAUUCUUACCAGCCUACCAGAAAUUAAACAUAUUUUAGCUCCUAUAAGGCCGCUCCAGCGGAUUAACUGCAAUCAAAAUUAUCGUACCAUUGUUCAACUAUGUGGUUGUUCUUGUUGUUUUUUUUUUUUCUCUUUAUUUUUCUGAUAAUCAAUUAUAUGGUUUUCUUUUUUUUUUUUUUUUGGGUUAAUUUGUUGACAUGCAUGAAACUUAUGUCUUGUAGAAUAAAGAAACUACAAUCAGAGAUGAAAAAUUAUUGCUUCUUCAAAUUUUUUAGGCAGAUUUACUGAGAAAAGUACCAUACCGGUAGUCAGUCUAAACAAUCUUUAAGCAUUUUUAUUCACUAAUUCUCAGAUGUACACAGACCUCUUUCUUUUAGAUUGUUUGCUAUCCAAUUGCUGUUUAAGAUGACCAAUUAGAGACACUUCCAAGAAAGUUUAAAUUCGUGGUUGCAUGUGCCAAAGGUUGCGCAAAAACAUUGCAGAUUUGCAGUUAUGCAGAUACUUUACAACUUGACAAAAUGAUCCUUCUGAAGAUUACUAUCUUAUAAGACACAUGCUCGUUGGUUUAAGAUGGUAUUUUGUGAUAUUUUUGGACUAUUGGUUCUGCUUGAUUUGACCAUUUUCUUCAAAAACAAGUUUUUUCAUACACAAUACUACGGUAAUAUAUUCCCAAAAACACCUAAUCCAUGUAAAUCUCAAAUACAACUAGGAAAAAAAAUUAAAUAAAAUAAAAAACUCACCACCUCUAUCUUCUUCCACCGACCACCACCUCACACCUUCCUCUUCCUCCUUCCUUCUCCUCCCUCUCCUCUCCCUACCACCUCAGACCGCCCCCCCCUCCCUCUCUAGCAGCCUCGUGACCAGAAGGUUGUGGCCAGAAGCUGCGAUCAGAUUGUGGCUUUCUGGCAGCUACCUUCUGCUUGCGACAAUAGCAACUUUUCAGCAGGGAAAAAAUAAACAAAGCAUGUCUAUAUUGUGCCAAACCAAUUGAAUCCUCCAAUCCAAAGAGCAUCUGUAGAAUUCAUACUAAAGAGCUGAAUUCUUUGAUGAGCGUAGAGAAUGCGAUCCACAUUAUGCAACAGACAGAAAAGCCAAAACUGUGAUCUGCAUUAGUAUCUCAGUAGUAGACCGACUCCGUCCAGUAAAAUGAGACAUCACCGUAGUAUUUGACAGGCAUCUUACAAGCAACAGUACUAAACAGGCUGAUUAAACUCAACACAGACGACCAGAAUGUAUGGAAUGCAUUAGAAUCUUUACUUCUAUGCUUCAGAAAGAUCCAUAUUCUCUUUAGGACCUGUCACUUCUGGAGAUGGAUUUUCAGUAUCUUCACUGUCAGAUGGUUGGGAUUCGUGCUUUGCAGCAGCUUGCAACACUCUGCUCUGAACAUCUGAAGAUGAAGGUGAUGUUGGCAGUCCGUUGCGGUUUGUUUCUAACUUGCCAGUGGCCCAUGAAAUUGCUUGACCUCCUAAUCUAGCUGGAGCGAGCAAUAGCCUUGGAAGCAGACAUAAAACAACAGUUAUUGAAUGUAUCAUUCUGUUACAUUUUGCAUAUAAUCCUCCAGAUGAAGGAGAGACUAUCUUAUUCUAAAGAUGUGGCAGAAUAUUCGAGCGCUGGCCAAGAAGUGAGAGAUUAGGUUCGAAGUGAGAUAAAAUUGCUCAAGUGAUCGGCUCAGUAAACACUUGAUUGGAUUGGACAAAAGGACAUCAAAACUGAAGAAAAUGACAUUAUUUUUAAGGAGCACGGCAUAUUAGCUAACCAUAUUCACAGACUCCUUUGUUGCUUAGGCCAAAAUAUAAUAAUUAAGAGCUCAAUUACCAACCUCUAAAAUAAGGUCAAACUCCCUUGGACUUUUACUUUUCCAGUGAGCAUUGGAAUUGCAUGUAAUGCAUAUGUAUAUUGGGCAAGUUGAUGCAGCAUCAAUUUCAGAGAUUAAUGAUGUUAAUGGGGCCAAAUGCAACCAGUUCAGCAAGAAAGCUUUUAGAGUUUUCCACACAAUUUUUACUUCUAAACAUCAAAUGCCCAUUGAAACAAAUUAUCCACACAGGUUCUACUAAGAUGUUUCCAGACAUUUUCUAAUACUUAACAGAGUUGACCCCUUUAUUCUAUGCUUUAAGUUGCACCAUUUUUGAGUUGAAAUUCAAUUACAAGAAAACAAUAAGUUAAACAUGACAUUGCUCAAACUAAAAUUUCGCUCAUAUGCAUGAAAUGCACCAAAAACUAAUUUCACUUUUGUAGGGACUGACUUUCUCAGCUUGAAAAGUUAGGCAUGACAUUUUAUAGAGCAUUUUCUGUAUUUCUCAGCUAUAAAAUAUGAAGGUAUGCUGAGUAAAGCGACCAUCAACUAGCUGAAAGGGCACACAAACUAAGGUUUUUGUGUUGGCUUUCAGAGGGGGAAUGUAAAAGCAAAAGGAAAUAAAAAUAGAAUAUCAGUGAUAUUUGAUCAUUGUCUGGAUUUCAAGCUACCAAGUAUUUCGACCUAAGAAUUUGCGGAGGAGAAUGAUCCAGUAAUACAUGAAGAAGAGGACAUUUCUUUUUUCUAGUCUUUGACAGGUAAUCACUAAAGGAUCAGUUCCUCAAUGAUAGUACUAGAUAAACAAGUCACAUCCCUUUACUGUCCAGACUUUGAUUAGUUAUCUUUGCUUUAGUUUCCAUAAAACUAAAUGAGCAGUAAAGAGAGAGAAAAAACAGAAACCCAUUUCUGUAACAUUUUGCAAUCCACUUGACAAAGAUAGCAAUGACCAGAUCAAUGAUCGAGGAAGAUUUUACCUCACAUCCUGCUUAAAAUCCUCAGUGUUUUCAUAGGAAGCAAUCCUCUUGUAUAUACUCUGGUCAACAGUUUAAAAACACCAAUUCAUGAGUGUACAGAUUAUACUCUGACAGUGCAAGAGAAAAUUGCGAUUUGAUGCACAAGACCAAGGUACCAAUUGAAGAAAAAAUACACCACAAAGGAGCAAUACAGUUAACCAUGCUGCAUGUAUGCUAAUGGACAAGAGCGAGACAGUUUUUCUAAUUUGAAAAGCAAGUUCUGGUAGAGGAUGAUGACACUCACUUGUGAUUUUAUCCUUUGCAGGAUUUGUUUCACUAUAGAUGCAUUUUCAUGUCAGAAGGAAAUGAAUGAAUUAAAGUGGAAUUUAAAAUGUCGGUUAAACAUCCAGCCUAUGUGCAUUCGACGACUUUAUGAGUGGAUAGAAUAUCCCAAUUUCUUCCAAAAUCCAUCAACAUCUGCAUAUACGAUUUUGUUGGAGUUUGAAAGGUUAUGCACUUUUUUUUUUCUUCUGAAACGGAAUAAACAGUAAGUAUCACAGUCCGACUAUGGUGAUUUAAAUCAUGCAUCACUACUAAUAUGGCCAUGCAAUAUGUCAAAUAUUAGAUGACUUACCGGUGUCUCAAUCUUCAGAUAGUUGAUAUCAUGUAAUCAUAUUAUAAAACUUUUGGUGAUUAUCCGGAAAAACUUAAUGAUGGUAGAAAUUUGUAUUUUUAAAAGGAAAACUAAAGUUGAAUGCUGUUUUAACUAGUUUAAGAUGAAUUUGUUUGUUAUUUCAUUUAAUCAAGUUCUUUUCAUAAUUAAGCUGGUGAAUGAUUCCAACACAAACAAAAGAUAUUGCAUGGGAUAUUCUUAUUAAAGGCAAGUCGAAGAUAUGAGAAGGAUUAGAAGCUUCUAGAUGAACAAAGUUUAAAAACUAAAAAUUACGACAACUAAUUUUGUAGGUCAGUGAUGAUUAUGGUUAGGUGAAAUAUAAAGAAGGUGAAAAUGCACUUUUAACAAAAGUAAUCAACUUGCAAGACCAUUGGACCUUUAUACACCAAUCACAAGGAUACUCAAGUAUAAGACCUGCUAAUUCCUAUCCGUUAAGACCACAUUCCACCAUGGUGACCAGCUUGUAUAGGCAAGAGAUAUGCCAAAGAGACGAAAUCCUUACUGUCAAUGAUCUCUGCUGAGAAUAACAUCUCAAAAACAAGUUGGAGCAUCACAUUUGCAAAGGCCAUGGACCUUUUUUUUGUGUAAAACCCAGGACCUCCUACUCAUGAUCCCUCCCACCUUAGCACCCAACCCAACCCAACCCAACCCUCCCCCUGGCAAUGGACUGUUUCAAGAAGGCUAUUGGGGGACAAACCUGAGCUAUACUUAAUAUUUUGCAACUUGCUCAAUAGAAAACAUAAAUAAAUAAUUGAUGUCUUCUAAAGCCGAAACAUGAGCCUAGCUAUUCAAAAUCUCUCCUUACCCUUGUCCAGAGAUAUGUUUGUUAAACAAACAAACCAAGCUCGAACCUAAUUUUAAAAUUCCUUAAUCUGUCAUGCCCCUGAGUAUAGAACUUGAUUAACAUGUGUGUUUAGUAUGUUGAAUGGUUAAGCUAUUCUAAGGCUGAACUCCAGGCCGCCUGACAAAAUCUCAGUUAAGCAUAAAUAACAAAUUUAACCAAGAUUUAUAGAUUGUCAAGUUUAUUUGCGAACCAAAAGGUUUUAACAACAUUCUUGCCACUAUUGCUAGCGCGUUCCCACAAUUAGAUUCCCUACUGUAUUUCUGGAAUAUAUUGAAAUUUCAAAGCUAUCUUUGAAAUGUAGCUAGAAUUUGCUUUCAUGGUACUUAAGAGUAAAUUGAAGACAAGGCGUAGUUUACCUGACCAAGACCAAUAAUACCGACAAUCUGAAGUGUCUUCUCCCACUCUGCACAGAAAAUUCAUGUACUCAGUUUUAAGAGAAAAACAAUCAUUAGAGUGUAGUAACAUAAUGUCUGAUGGAUUUAAGAUCAUAGAAUGUUAAUUCAAGUAUAGCUUUGUAUUUGAUGUGCCUGCAAUUUUUCAGUAUUUUUUUUCAUCAAGCACCAUAUACAGCCUAUGGUAUGCGAAAGUAACAAGUGAUUGUUAAGAGCUCUAAACAUAUAUCAAGGGUAAAAGAGCAAAGAUGAUUCCAAAAAGUGAUCUUUACAUCUCCAAAAGAGCGCAGAUUUUAUGUUUGAAUGUGCCAAACGAUAAGAGCCUCCUAUGGCUUCAUCCAACUAAAACCACCCAAGUGAAAAAUCCAAUAAUUAUGAGCUUAGUUUGCUCAUAUUAUUCUUCCCCAUGACCAGGUAAAAAUCAAAUUAAUCUGCCUUUUUUAGUGUACUUUACUUUUACACUCCAACAAGUCACUUCGAUCUUAUUUCCUUUUUCUUUUUGCUAUUCUAAGUCAGUUAAUCUACACUUUGAAAUCUCUGAACUAUCUUUUCCAUGUCUUCCACAUUUGUAGUUAUUUUAAUCUACGGAACUUUUAAUUUACAAUUUAAUGUGCAAAAAACCCUUUUCCAGGAGCUUCAUAAACCAUUUGAUCUUUUCGAAGAUUACAACAUACCAAAUUGCAGGAAGAAAGAGAGAUUAAAAAAAAGCUCACCUAUGGCUGCAUAGGAUACUGCAGCGAAACCCUGUCCACAUAGUAUUUGGAUUAAACAUGGAAUGCUAAAAAGCAAAUAGGACAAAGGAAUAAUGGAAUUCUCAUGUGAUAUUGUGAAGAAGAUAAAUGCAAUUUUCCAUUAAGUUGGUACAUGCGGAAAGAAGCCCAGAGUUUGCUUAGAAAGAAACAAAACCAAAUCAGAUAUUAGCCAUAAAGGAGAAAAAAAGUACAUUCAAGCAUGUCAUUUUGAAAACUAAAAAGGCCACAGCAGAAAAAUGCUUUAAUCCAGGGUCAAGUGAAUCGACUAGAGACGAUUGUUGACUACAAAUGUAAGAAGAAAAUGAUUUGAUGGAUUUGAUCACAUAUAUAUCAAAGUGGACAUUUAACAAAAAGUUUGAAAGGUAUGUAGAGCUUUGAUAUCCAUUGAUAUUGAAUAAAGAAACUGACUAAUUGAGAAAAAGUUGUGAAAAGAGAUUUAACAUGCAAUAGAUGGAGGCAUGGCCCAAUCAUUGAUGGCUCUACCAUGAUCCUUGAUGGUCAUGGAUCCCAAUCUUGGCUCCCAUCCUCUUGCCACCCUCAAAGAAUCGAAAACAUCAAGAAAAGAUGGAUUUCUAAUGAGCUGAAAUCAAUGAAAAAGUACACAAGAGUAAAAGAACUUACCAUUCCAUACCCAAGAAGUCGAAGUGGUGUUGGAUUGAAGUCUUGUAUUAUUGCCUCGGCAUCCUGAUGACACACCAAAUUUCAAUUGUUUACAAACUAAGACUUAAAGUGCAGGAAAGGGCAGGUAGAAGAAAGAAAAGGUCUGCAGGAGAGAAAGAAAUCUAUCUCAUGUGUCUAAAUACAUAGUCUCAAUACGAAACUAAUGCUGCUAGUGAAUCUCAUUUACCCUUUUCAGGUUUGCUUGAAUUGUUGCAACAUAUUUACCUUUGGAAGAAAUUAAUUUUAGAACUACAAAACAGCAGGUAGAAUAUUUUAAAUCAUUACACAGCCACCGUCUGAGCCCUUAUAAUUAUAAAGAAAGCGUAUGAAAGACCUAAUCUUACAUAAAAAGUUAUUCAUAUUUGAAAAACCAAAGACAGAUAAUACCUAGCAGACAAUUAAUAUAAAGAAAGCUCAUAAAACUUGCAGGAGUGCAGCUAUGUACCUCAUUGAGUAUGGUUAGAGCUGUCUCUGGUCUUAAAUCUUUAAUUCGAAGACCUUCUCUAACCCAAGACUGAAACCCGCCUUGGACCACAUAUGAAUUCUGCAUUAUUAACAAUAAGUAUACAGUUAACACCAAAACAGAUGUCAUCCAUGCCCAAAUAUACGGCAACAACUUAGUGUCAUUUAACUAAUUUGACUAGUGUAGCAUUCAACUAAAGAUCUAAGGUAUUUCCCAGACCAUUUUUUAUCUACUAAAGGAUAAUUUGAUUGUUAUCCUUUCAAAACAUAAAUGAAAAAAAAAAAUUAGUUCAGUGCAAGCCUCGAGAUUGUCAAAACUUUAAAAACUUUCCUGAGAUACUUGUAAAGCCUCUCAGGUUCCAGCUCAAAUUUGGAUCACCUUUCCAUAAGCUAGUGUUCAAAUUCAGAAGAUGAAGAUAACUUUUGGAGAACUAGAAAGCUCAUCUCCAAAGGAGAAGCAUGUAUGAUGAGAACUAUGUCUUUCAGGUUUUAUUUGAGCUACUGGCCAUUAAUAAAUAGACUAGGAAUCUGUAUUGAGGAAGUUUAUAAUACUCCUCAAGAUACAUACCUUAACCCCAAGCUUCCUCAAUGCUCUUGCUAUUCCUUUGGAGCGAACACCUUUAGCAUCCAAAACAACAACCUUCGAUCUGUCCUAUAGUUCAUGUCAUACAGUAAUAUCAAGUUUCGCAGAUAAAACAUAAGGUAUUUCAUGUACUUCAAAUAUCCUGCUGCUAAAGAAAAUGUCAUACAUUUUUUGAAAAACUUAGGGGCAAUAAUCCAAAGUCAUAGUUCUACAGAAUUCUAUCAAAAACUAAGGGGCAAUUUUACCAAGUCAAUGUUCUACAGUUCCAUUAAAAAAUUGGUCACCUAUUACCAAAAAUGGAACAAUGUCGUGUUUAAAAUGUUAAAAAAAAUUCAAGGCUACACAUAUUAGCAAAUUAAUGAGGUUAUAGGUGAAACUCACAUACUUGAACAUUCUUUAAGUUCCCAAUAACAGCAGCAAUCAACAAAUCAUCAAGAUUUCUCCCUGCCUUAAGUAACUUUUUCAGAGAGACGUCAACCUGAAAUUCAAGCAAAAAAGUAAAAACACUGUGAACACAGCAUAAUAAACAAGUCAAACUUUAAUAGAAUAUCCUUCAUUCAGUAUAAUUUUUUAAUUGUUGUUCUUCCUUCCCUAAAGAAUGACAAGAAAUUGGUUAAGUCUAUCCUCCAACCUCUGGUAGCACUAUACUGGCAUAUCGAUAUCGGGCUGCUCGUCGAAGAUCAGGAAUACCAUCUCUUUCCCUGAGGUCCUUCAAUAUAGUAAAAGAAGAACUCCAUCAUUCAAAUGGAAAACUUGACUGAAUAUAUCAUAUAAGGAAAUGUAAUGCAAGAUACGGAAAAUCUAAUAUGGGAAAUGAGACAAGCCUACUUUCAAUGGAAGUUUAGAUGUUUUAGAAGAUUAUAUGGAAUACCUCUAUUCAGAAAUAAUAUUAAUUUUAAUGGAAAUCCCGACCACUUAAUAAAGGGCUAGAAAAUUUUAAAGUCACUUGCCUCAGGCCGAAUAUCAAUCAGUACACCAUCUUCAUUCCCUGUCAAGAGCUCCAAAGUCGAUCUGGGAGAUAAAUCUCCAGUGUAUCCACUGUAAUUGUAUACCCAGUAAUAAACCCUGCAAAGAUCUGAUAAGCAAUAUAAUUUUCCAUAAAUUCAAUGAGGGAAAAAUCCCAUUCCCCCUAUACAACAGAAGGAAAUAAAAUCAUGGGAAAGAGGAUGAUUAUACCAUAAAGUGGCCGAUGCUCCAAUAAAGAGAAGAAAUGGGAUGAUUGGAUCAUUGGGGUCCAAGCCAAGUUUCUCUUCCAAUCCUUGCAACGUGCUGUAACCCUGUUCCUCAUAUAUUGUAAAGUUUAGCACUUAUUCAAUUGAUUCAAGGGACAAAAUGAUGUAUGCAAAUUAAACUUUUUUUUUCCAAAUUUAAAUGUCUGGACAGCCCUAAGUGGAGCUGGUAACUCUGUACCAUAAGUAUUCAUCACAUUAACAUUUUACGAAAAUAUAGUUGCUAUUCUUAAAAUUAGUGAAUUAGGAGGAGAACUAUAAGCAUAAAAUGUUUGGCAAACUAUAUGGCAAUUUACAUGUGCUAUUCAAGAGGAGGAAUUUGAACAAACUAACAUUCUAUGAAAAUCUCAUUUCUAAUUUUUGAAUUACGGAAUUAGGAAGAACACUCUAAGCAUCAAAUGCUUAGUAAACCACUACACGUAUUAUGGGUGCUAUUGAAUAGGAGGAAUUUAAACAUACUUGUUGAAAUGCUGAACCAACUGGCCUCAAGAAUUCUGAUAACUUGUUCUCAGAUGCACUGAGUGCGUUCUGGAUUUCUGUGGGAAGCAACUCCUUCACUGUACCAUAGCCAUAUGCAGCAGAUGUAAAACCCUUUGCCAGAGAUUCCUCAACCACAAUUAUUGAUUGCCUCAGCCCAUCAAGAGCAGUAAUCCCAAGUCUGCCUGAGGCUUCCUUUAAGUCACUAGAAAAGGAGGAUAAUUUACUGCCAGCUAAUUCUCCAAUUCUAUCAGUAGAUGACUUCAGCUCUCCAGUGGCAUUAUUAAGUGCUUCAUUAGCUUCUCUAAAAGCAGACUGUAUUGAAGAAAUAACUGUAUCAAUUGAGCUGUUCAGAAAAUUUUGCCCUUCAUUGACUAUAUCACUUAUAGACUUGUUAGUUUCAGCAACAACAUCCACGACACUUGUUUUAAUACUCGACAGGGAAUCCGUAUCCGCAUUAUAUGUAUCAGGUGGUAAUGAAGGAUCAUCUUGAAUGCCAUCCAUGCUCAAAAUUGAGUCUGGAUUAGCUGGCUGAGGUGAAAUAUUAGUUUCAUCAAUCCGAUUCGUGAAAACCAUUAGUUCCUCCUGUUGAGCAUACAUAUCAGAAUUCUCAACAAACUGAAUACUGCCUGCCCUGGUGGCAAAUGAUUCAUUCAUUCCACCUGUUGUGCAACUGCCAUUAGAUAGUAACUCAAAUUGGUGAUCAUUGAGCUCCUUAUGAAAGGAACACCUAGUAAUAGUAUCCACAGAGCCAGA